rnacentral:lncRNA from 1 species
GAGCAUAUAUGUAUUUACAAAAACAAUUUUGUUAAAAAAGCAGGCUCGGAUAAAGUUUUAAAUAUUAUAAGAAUUUCGUCAUCGCCAAAAUUUAUUUAUUUUAUUACGUAUUUGUAUAUGUAAUAUAAAUUUUUUUUAUUUGCGAAAGACUCAAAAAUUGAUGAAAAAAUUCUUCAUCGGCCAAUACUAGUGUAGAAUCAUGUAUCUGUUGAAUUAAAUGUAAAGGACAAAUCGCCGAAUCAAUCCUGCAAAACUGUAGCAGCUCACCCAAGAAAAUUAUAAAACGGUACAAAAUCACUCCACAAGUAAAAUAAUAAGAAAAGAAACGCAACAUGAAUGUAGUAGCUAGCAUCCAACAACAAUAACAAAAUAGAAAAGCAAAAGGCAUCAAAAAUCUGCAUCUAAAUAUAGCAAAUUGUCUGGCAUCUAUGAAGUUUGCGGAUCAAAAUGAAGUUUUCAAUAGAUAGUGGACCAUUCUAUCCAGAUUGAAAAUGGCCAGAUUUGCAAAACCAUAGAAGCAACAGAUAAAAUUGAUGAAAACUCAGUUCAACAGAGUUAAAAGAUCGAAGUAGUGUGAUUAUUAGUGUUAAUUCAAUGACAUCGCUGGAGCAAUGCUUGAAUGACAUGAAUCCGACAAAAUCUAGCCUCCUUUUGGCAUGACAGUAAUAAUAUGAAAAGGGUAGAGCAACAUAACGAAAAGGGGGAGGGGGAAGCAUUAGCGGUGUUGGUGUUGUUUUGGUGGUUUUCCUGCGGGAAGCUCGCCAACAAUGGCUAUUGGUGGCGAAACAGGAAAGGGAUGGCAUGUGGAUGGAACUGGGUGGUGAUGCGGUUAGUGAGGGGGAGAAGAGGUGUCGGCUGGUUGUUGGCUGGAGGUGGUCCACCGGCGGUGGUUCGCCGGUGGUGAUGCAUCUGUUAUUAUGAGAUUGAGAGAGAGAAAAGAAAUAGGGGAGGAGACUAUUUCUUGGUUUUUUUGUUAUUGUGUGUGUGUGUUUUAAAGUGUUGAAGAAAAAAUAAACC